rfam:Streptomyces sp. MnatMP-M17 genome assembly, contig: Ga0115259_10217
CCGGCGGGCAGCAGCCCGUCGGUAACUGACACCGGUACCUGAUACGGCCGGUGCAG